GGAUCGGACCGCUGUCGUCACCCCUCCCCCACCCCCCCACCCCCCUUGCAGAAAGGCGCACAGGGAGGGGAAACGAGGCAACAGCUAGAGAGAGACCCCGGCCUCCAAUGCCACCACCUGCGGAGACCAGCGGACAGGGCCAAAGACGGAACCUUAGGCCUUCACUGGAUGUGGCCCCCGAGGAAUGUGGAGACUCCAGGACCUCUUCAGGAAGCCCCAGAACUUUGACCUAUAUUUCAGGAAUCAGCAGCCUCUGCCGAAGGAAUCCGG